GACGAACGCUGGCGGCGUGCUUAACACAUGCCAGUCGAACGGAAAGGCCCUGCUUUUGUGGGGUGCUCGAGUGGCGAACGGGUGAGUAACACGUGAGUAACCUGCCCUUGACUUUGGGAUAACUUCAGGAAACUGGGGCUAAUACCGGAUAGGAGCUCCUGCUGCAUGGUGGGGGUUGGAAAGUUUCGGCGGUUGGGGAUGGACUCGCGGCUUAUCAGCUUGUUGGUGGGGUAGUGGCUUACCAAGGCUUUGACGGGUAGCCGGCCUGAGAGGGUGACCGACCACAUUGGGACUGAGAUACGGCCCAGACUCCUACGGGAGGCAGCAGUGGGGAAUAUUGCACAAUGGGCGGAAGCCUGAUGCAGCAACGCCGCGUGCGGGAUGACGGCCUUCGGGUUGUAAACCGCUUUCGCCUGUGACGAAGCGUGAGUGACGGUAAUGGGUAAAGAAGCACCGGCUAACUACGUG
rnacentral:rRNA from 1 species